UACAGAGGGUGCAAGCGUUGUUCGGAAUUAUUGGGCGUAAAGCGCGUGUAGGCGGCUUGGCAAGUCGGGUGUGAAAGCCCUCAGCUCAACUGAGGAAGUGCGCCCGAAACUGCUAUGGCUUGAGUGCCGGAGAGGGUGGCGGAAUUCCCCAAGUAGAGGUGAAAUUCGUAGAUAUGGGGAGGAACACCGGUGGCGAAGGCGGCCACCUGGACGGCGACUGACGCUGAGACGCGAAAGCGUGGGGAGCAAACAGG
rnacentral:rRNA from 1 species